ACGGGUGAGUAACGCGUGGGAAUCUACCGUACCCUACGGAAUAGCUCCGGGAAACUGGAAGUAAUACCGUAUACGCCCGAAAGGGGAAAGAUUUAUCGGGGUAUGAUGAGCCCGCGUUGGAUUAGCUAGUUGGUGGGGUAAAGGCCUACCAAGGCGACGAUCCAUAGCUGGUCUGAGAGGAUGAUCAGCCACAUUGGGACUGAGACACGGCCCAAACUCCUACGGGAGGCAGCAGUGGGGAAUAUUGGACAAUGGGCGCAAGCCUGAUCCAGCCAUGCCGCGUGAGUGAUGAAGGUCUUAGGAUUGUAAAGCUCUUUCACCGAUGAAGAUAAUGACGGUAGUCGGAGAAGAAGCCCCGGCAAACUUCGUGCCAGCAGCCGCGGUAAUACGAAGGGGGCUAGCGUUGUUCGGAAUUACUGGGCGUAAAGCGCACGUAGGCGGAUAAUUAAGUCAGGGGUGAAAUCCCGCAGCUCAACUGCGGAACUGCCUUUGAUACUGGUUAUCUUGAGUAUGGAAGAGGUAAGUGGAAUUGCGAGUGUAGAGGUGAAAUUCGUAGA
rnacentral:rRNA from 1 species